CAUGUUGAAGAAGAAACCAGAUUCUUGCUCCAACUUAUGAACUGUUUCUUUGAACUUCUCUUCAUCCAAAAACUGGAGGAUUAAGAAAACCAGUUCCCUACUCAAGGAAGACAUGGUGACAGCUCCAGGAACUCCUAGCCACUCCAGUGCAAAUAUUUGGAUGUUAAUUAGCAAAAGCAGAGAAAAAGUGACCAAAUUUUCCACCAAUGGAGCUCCUUUGCUCCAAGUAAUCAACUACUUAAUCUAGAUCACUUCCCCAACAACUAAGAAAAUGCUCAAACUUUUCACAAUGUUCCAG
rnacentral:misc_RNA from 1 species